rnacentral:ncRNA from 1 species
GCAGAGUAAGAGCACAUGUGUGAAAUAGUGCCGGAAAGACGGGGAGUUGUUUUCUGGACGAAAAGACUGAAAAAGUCUGCAGUAUGUGUUCUGAAUCCCGCUGC